rnacentral:rRNA from 1 species
AGUGAACGCUGGCGGUAGGCCUAACACAUGCAAGUCGAACGGCAGCACAGUAAGAGCUUGCUCUUACGGGUGGCGAGUGGCGGACGGGUGAGGAAUACAUCGGAAUCUACUUUUUCGUGGGGGAUAACGUAGGGAAACUUACGCUAAUACCGCAUACGACCUACGGGUGAAAGCAGGGGAUCUUCGGACCUUGCGCGAUUGAAUGAGCCGAUGUCGGAUUAGCUAGUUGGCGGGGUAAAGGCCCGCCAAGGCGACGAUCCGUAGCUGGUCUGAGAGGAUGAUCAGCCACACUGGAACUGAGACACGGUCCAGACUCCUACGGGAGGCAGCAGUGGGGAAUAUUGGACAAUGGGCGCAAGCCUGAUCCAGCCAUACCGCGUGGGUGAAGAAGGCCUUCGGGUUGUAAAGCCCUUUUGUUGGGAAAGAAAAGCAGCAGGUUAAUACCCCGCUGUUUUGACGGUACCCAAAGAAUAAGCACCGGCUAACUUCGUG